GACGAACGCUAGCGGCGUGCCUAAGCUAUGCAAGUCGAGCGGGGUUUCAGAGUCGAGUUUCCUUCGGGAGACAAAGCACUGAAACCUAGCGGCGAACGGGUGAGUAACACGUGAGCAACCUACCCUGUUGUCCGGGAUAACAGACCGAAAGGCCUGCUAAUACCGGAUACGAAGCUCCUUCGCAUGUUGGAGCUUGGAAAGGGGCAACCCGCAAUGGGAGGGGCUUACGGCCUAUCAGCUAGUUGGUGAGGUAACGGCCCACCAAGGCGACGACGGGUAGCCGACCUGAGAGGGUGACCGGCCACACUGGGACUGAGACACGGCCCAGACUCCUACGGGAGGCAGCAAGCGGGAAUCUUGCACAAUGGGCGCAAGCCUGAUGCAGCGACGCCGCGUGAGGGAUGAAGGCCUUCGGGUCGUAAACCUCUGUUGAUGGGGACGAAGAUCUGACGGUACCC
rnacentral:rRNA from 1 species